AUACGUAGGGUGCGAGCGUUGUCCGGAAUUACUGGGCGUAAAGAGCUCGUAGGUGGUUUGUCGCGUCGUCUGUGAAAUUCCGGGGCUUAACUCCGGGCGUGCAGGCGAUACGGGCAUAACUUGAGUACUGUAGGGGGGACUGGAAUUCCUGGUGUAGCGGUGAAAUGCGCAGAUAUCAGGAGGAACACCGGUGGCGAAGGCGGGUCUCUGGGCAGUAACGGACGCUGAGGAGCGAAAGCAUGGGUAGCGAACAGGAUUAGAUACCCUGGUAGUCCAUGCCGUAAACGGUGGGCGCUAGGUGUAGGGGUCUUCCACGACUUCUGUGCCGUAGCUAACGCAUUAAGCGCCCCGCCUGGGGAGUACGGCCGCAAGGCUAAAACUCAAAUGAAUUGACGGGG
rnacentral:rRNA from 1 species